rnacentral:rRNA from 1 species
AACGAACGCUGGCGGCAUGCCUAACACAUGCGAGUCGAACGAGACCUUCGGGUCUAGUGGCGCGCGGGUGCGUAACGCGUGGGAACCUGCCCUUAGGUUCGGAAUAACUCCCCGAAAGGGGUGCUAAUACCGGAUAAUGUCUUCGGACCAAAGAUUUAUCGCCUUUGGAUGGGCCCGCGUUGGAUUAGCUAGUUGGUAGGGUAAAAGCCUACCAAGGCGACGAUCCAUAGCUGGUCUGAGAGGAUGAUCAGCCACACUGGGACUGAGACACGGCCCAGACUCCUACGGGAGGCAGCAGUGGGGAAUAUUGGACAAUGGGCGAAAGCCUGAUCCAGCAAUGCCGCGUGAGUGAUGAAGGCCUUAGGGUUGUAAAGCUCUUUUACCCGGGAUGAUAAUGACAGUACCGGGAGAAUAAGCGCCGGCUAACUCCGUG